ensembl:lncRNA
GUUUGUCAGACCAGGAGAGAUUCCAUCUACGGUGACAGGUGACAGCUAGAGUGGUGUUUGUCAGACCAGGAGAGAUUCCAUCUACGGUGACAGGUGACAGCUAGAGUGGUGUUUGUCAGACCAGGAGAGAUUCCAUCUAUGGUGACAGGUGACAGCUAGAGUGGUGUUUGUCAGACCAGGAGAGAUUCCAUCUACGGUGACAGGUGACAGCUAGAGCGGUGUUUGUCAGACCAGGAGAGAUUCCAUCUAUGGUGAAAGGUGACAGAUAGUGGUGUUUGUCAGACCAGGAGAGAUUCCAUCUAUGGUGAAAGGUGACAGAUAGUGGUGUUUGUCAGACCAGGAGAGAUUCCAUCUACGGUGAAAGGUGACAGCUAGAGCGGUGUUUGUCAGACCAGGAGAGAUUCCAUCUACGGUGAAAGGUGACAGCUAGAGCGGUGUUUGUCAGACCAGGAGAGAUUCCAUCUACGGUGACAGGUGACAGCUAGAGCGGUGUUUGUCAGGCCAGGAGAGAUUCCAUCUACGGUGAAAGGUGACAGCUAGAGCGGUGUUUGUCAGACCAGGAGAGAUUCCAUCUACGGUGAAAGGUGACAGCUAGAGCGGUGUUUGUCAGGCCAGGAGAGAUUCCAUCUACGGUGACAGGUGACAGCUAGAGCGGUGUUUGUCAGACCAGGAGAGAUUCCAUCUACGGUGAAAGGUGACAGCUAGAGCGGUGUUUGUCAGGCCAUGAGACAACACAAAAAUCUGUCUUCUCACAAAAUUGCCUUUAGCAUCCGAACGGUUUUGCUCUGACUCCCACAAGCAUCUUGGGACUCAUCUGAAUUCGGUAGAGCUGAUCUGCCAACUACUGUCUCUCCGAACAGUUUGGACCCCUCCUGGAAAGGUGAGAUUCAAGACUCGUCUGAAGGUCCCCCGGCACCAGUUGAAAAAAUGUAUGGAAGUGUAUAUGGAGUCUGUUUCGUG